rnacentral:misc_RNA from 1 species
UCCGAGUUGACCCCGGCAGUCUCCCAUGAGUCCCCAGCCACCCGAAGGUGCUGCUGGCAACAUAGGACGAGGGUUGCGCUCGUUGCGGGACUUAACCCAACAUCUCACGACACGAGCUGACGACAACCAUGCACCACCUGUAUACCGACCUUGCGGGGCGACCAUCUCUGGACGUUUCCGGUAUAUGUCAAGCCUUGGUAAGGUUCUUCGCGUUGCAUCGAAUUAAUCCGCAUGCUCCGCCGCUUGUGCGGGCCCCCGUCAAUUCUUUUGAGUUUUAGCCUUGCGGCCGUACUCCCCAGGCGGGACACUUAACGCGUUAGCUGCGGCACAGAGGGAUUCGACUCCACCCACACCUAGUGUCCAUCGUUUACGGCUAGGACUAC